rnacentral:rRNA from 1 species
AACGUUACCAAACUGUUGCCUCGGCGGGAUCUCUGCCCCGGGUGCGUCGCAGCCCCGGACCAAGGCGCCCGCCGGAGGACCAACCAAAACUCUUAUUGUAUACCCCCUCGCGGGUUUUUUUAUAAUCUGAGCCUUCUCGGCGCCUCUCGUAGGCGUUUCGAAAAUGAAUCAAAACUUUCAACAACGGAUCUCUUGGUUCUGGCAUCGAUGAAGAACGCAGCGAAAUGCGAUAAGUAAUGUGAAUUGCAGAAUUCAGUGAAUCAUCGAAUCUUUGAACGCACAUUGCGCCCGCCAGUAUUCUGGCGGGCAUGCCUGUCCGAGCGUCAUUUCAACCCUCGAACCCCUCCGGGGGGUCGGCGUUGGGGAUCGGCCCUGCCUUGGCGGUGGCCGUCUCCGAAAUACAGUGGCGGUCUCGCCGCAGCCUCUCCUGCGCAGUAGUUUGCACACUCGCAUCGGGAGCGCGGCGCGUCCACAGCCGUUAAACACCCAACUUCUGAAAUGUUGACCUCGGAUCAGGUAGGAAUACCCGCUGAACUUAAGCAUAUCAAUA